rnacentral:rRNA from 1 species
UGGGGAAUAUUGGACAAUGGGCGGAAGCCUGAUCCAGCCAUGCCGCGUGUGUGGAGAAGGCCUUUUGGUUGUAAAGCACUUUAAGCGAGGAGGAGGCUACUUGGAUUAAUACUCUAGGAUAGUGGACGUUACUCGCAGAAUAAGCACCGGCUAACUCUGUGCCAGCAGCCGCGGUAAUACAGAGGGUGCGAGCGUUAAUCGGAUUUACUGGGCGUAAAGCGUGCGUAGGCGGCUUCUUAAGUCGGAUGUGAAAUCCCUGAGCUUAACUUAGGAAUUGCAUUCGAUACUGGGAAGCUAGAGUAUGGGAGAGGAUGGUAGAAUUCCAGGUGUAGCGGUGAAAUGCGUAGAGAUCUGGAGGAAUACCGAUGGCGAAGGCAGCCAUCUGGCCUAAUACUGACGCUGAGGUACGAAAGCAUGGGGAGCAAACAGG